rnacentral:rRNA from 1 species
ACACACGUGCUACAAUGGCGCAUACAAAGAGAAGCGACCUCGCGAGAGCAAGCGGACCUCAUAAAGUGCGUCGUAGUCCGGAUUGGAGUCUGCAACUCGACUCCAUGAAGUCGGAAUCGCUAGUAAUCGUGGAUCAGAAUGCCACGGUGAAUACGUUCCCGGGCCUUGUACACACCGCCCGUCACACCAUGGGAGUGGGUUGCAAAAGAAGUAGGUAGCUUAACCUUCGGGAGGGCGCUUACCACUUUGUGAUUCAUGACUGGGGUGAAGUCGUAACAAGGUAACCGUAGGGGAACCUGCGGUUGGAUCACCUCCUUACCUUAAAGAA